rnacentral:rRNA from 1 species
AUGAACGCUGGCGGCGUGCCUAAUCCAUGCAAGUCGAGCGAACGGACGAGAAGCUUGCUUCUCUGAUGUUAGCGGCGGACGGGUGAGUAACACGUGGAUAACCUACCUAUAAGACUGGGAUAACUUCGGGAAACCGGAGCUAAUACCGGAUAAUAUUUUGAACCGCAUGGUUCAAAAGUGAAAGACGGUCUUGCUGCCACUUAUAGAUGGAUCCGCGCUGCAUUAGCUAGUUGGUAAGGUAACGGCUUACCAAGGCAACGAUGCAUAGCCGACCUGAGAGGGUGAUCGGCCACACUGGAACUGAGACACGGUCCAGACUCCUACGGGAGGCAGCAGUAGGGAAUCUUCCGCAAUGGGCGAAAGCCUGACGGAGCAACGCCGCGUGAGUGAUGAAGGUCUUCGGAUCGUAAAACUCUGUUAUUAGGGAAGAACAUAUGUGUAAGUAACUGUGCACAUCUUGACGGUACCUAAUCAGAAAGCCACGGCUAACUACGUG